CUCCUUCUCUAAAAAAUUUUUUUGAAACUCUCUCUCCCCCUUUUCUCCGUUCCACUCUUCGACCAUGGGCCCGGUCAUCACUCGUCGCGCGUCUGCCGGCGCCGCCGUGUGCGGCGGCCGGGAAGCUGAAAAGCUUCCCUUUUUACGCCGAAUCGUCCAUUCGACACUUUGAACACUCCAGCGUCGUCAAAUAGGUGGAGCAGGUGCGGCGGUGGCAGAGGGCAGGUGCACCACUUGCGCUGAUGAUGUGACGACGGCGGCGGUAGCAGAGGGCUCAGAAGAGGCGGCUAGGGUUAGGCAGUAGGCUAGGGUUUCAUUUUUUCUGAAAAGUUUUAAACAUUUUGGGCCACUGGGCCUUCAUUUUUUUGGGUUGUAAUUUUAAUUGUUUGGGCUUGCUGUAUUUGGGCUAUUCUGAUUUGUAAAUAAUUUGGUUUAUUUUUUGGUGCGGGCCCGGGCAAAAAUGGGCUUGUACAAUUUCUAUUAA